rnacentral:lncRNA from 1 species
AAUAUCACCAUUACGAAGACCCUUACUUCGGACAAAUUGGAUCCAACCGGAAACAAGAACCAGUUUUGGGAUAACCCCAGGUUGCAUUUUGCAACCAAAGUUCCAUAAGAUUCCAGCAUCAUCCUCAACCUGCAACACCAUUACAUGGCACCCUUGGGACCGAGGUAAAGCAGCUUCGCUGCCAAUUGGAAAUGAUAAUCUUCUCUCAACGUCAGGGGUUGUGAGAACUUUUGAAAAAUUUUGCAUACCUGAAUUUGAUUUCUUUGAGCUGCUCUACUGGUCAAUUUUUACUUACAGAGUAGCGAGAGAAGAUGAGAAUUAAGCACAAAUAUAUAGGGGUAGAAAAGCCAUGAAAGUUUGAAGCGCGAGCUCUGGCUAACCGGACAUGUGGUCGCGUGAGAUUGAGACUUUGGAUGUGUCUUUUUCUUACUUUUUCAAAGAAAGGUUACUCUACUGGUGGGGCCUAUGAAAAGAAAAAAAGAAUUAAAGAUCUAGAGGGUAUAAAAGUUUUCUUGCCAUUCGGAGUGUUUAAAUUGUUACAUGAUCUUUCCAUUUGUCAGAAUGUCCGCCAUUGUCAACAUUUGUAACAAAAGCACACUUCAAGCAACUUUGUUGCAACGCAUAUUCUUCUGAAACGAUUAUGCUAUCAUCAAUAGCAAUCAAUUGGCUGAACAACAGAUUCACUAGGUCUCGCGCGUCAGACCCCUCUUUCUUUCUUGAAUCUUGCAAAAUACCCAAACUCCACCUGGUUUUUGUUUGUGGGCUAAAUUUUAUGGCAUUGAAGUCAAUUCGGAACUACGAAGGAGACUCCUGGUUUUGAUUAUAGCAAUGUAUAUAUCAUUAGUCACUGGUUUAACUACUGGAAAGGUUGUUGUUUCUGCCUGUAAAACAAGGAAAACAUCAUUUCUCCAAAAGAAAAAAGUACUAUCAAAUAAGGAAUCCUAUAAACGCCACCAUAGUAAGGAACGUACUAAUCCAGUCGUGUAAUCACUAUAUUUCUUUGUUACGACUAUUUGGUGAUGGGUUAUGGCUUAAAAUUAGUGAUUCAGUGAUUCACUCUUAACGUGAUAGUCAUGCUUAUUUUACAAUUAUUAUAGAAUUUUUCAAUAAAGAAAGAUUACAAGCACAAUAAAAAAUCUUUAAACUAACGACUUUUUAAAUACAAGUAUAAUUAGGAUCAUUAAAAAUUUAUUUGGAUAAAUGAUAAAAUUAAUUUAAAUAAAAUUAAAAAUAAUUAUUAUUAUCGUAAUUAUGAUUAAAAUAAAUUAUUGUAAUUACGAUUAAAUAAAAUUUAAAUAAUUUUAUACUAAAUGGAUCUUACUAUAAUUGAUAUUUAAAUUUAAUUAUAUCAUUAAUAUUAUUACUUAAUGUGCAAAAAUUUUCAUAUUUACUCUAUAUACAGAUAAUUAAUGUCAAAAUAGUAAUUAAAUUUCACGCAACUUAAUAUUACCAUACGAAAAUCAUAAUUCUUUUAAUAUGAUACGAUUUUGAUAAAGGUGUCUUAGAAAUACUAAAACUAACUCAAGAUGAUAGUUAUAGAAAGAAUUCUUAAGUUCCUGGUUUAGUAUUUGGGACUAGUAGUUUGUGACUGUGAAUGUUACAGCUUACAAUCUUAUUAGUAAUCCUCAUGUUUUUUUUUUUUUUUUAAUUUUGGGAAAUGGGAUUCGGACUUUAUUUAAAAACAAAAAAAACUCAUAUACAUCAAUUAUUAAAUUAAAAUUUUGGGUGGGAAAAAAAUAAAAGCCCAAAAAAGCUAGAAAUGGAAGAAUGGGCCACUAACAGCUAAGGUGACUAAAAAAUAAUUAACCGUUGACCCAACCCUUUUUCAAAUGCACUUCCAAAAUGAAAGUAUGGGGUAAUAAGUCUACGAAGCUUAGGGAAAAUAGAAUUGAAGAAAAUAAAAUGUUAAAGAUAAAGUCUAAUAUUUAAAAAAAAAAAUAGACAUAUGAUUUUUCGUUCAGAAAAUACUUCGUAAGAUUUUUAACUUAAUUACUUUAAAUAAUAUAUUUUAAAUUAUUUAUUCAUUCUUUUAGAACUUCGAACUUUUACUUUACAUAUUUUAAAAUUUUUAUUUUGAUUAAAUAUGAACACUUGAAUUAACGAGUUAUGUCUUUAAAAUUUUAUAUUUUGAUAAGAUUUUAUCAAGUUUUUUAUUAUUAAAAAAUAUAACCCUAAGUUAAAAAUAAAAAAAAAAUGACAAUUUAAAGUUAUAAUCAGUUAUCAUACUUAAAAAAAUUUUAAAGUUUUAAAAUUUUAUCCAAAAUAAAAAGUUACAGUGUAAAAUUUUUAAAAAAUCAAUACACAUUAAAGAUUUUACGUUUCACCGAAAUAUGAAAAUAAAAAUCAACCCUGUUUUUCUUUCCAAAUCUUCCUCAAAAAAUAUUAAUUAGUUUUGAUACGCCUUAAAGUGUCAUGGCUUCUUAUGUCCAAAGAUACAAUUAAUAAAAUGCUUUUCGAGACGGUGAAAUCAGAAAGCCACCUACUAGAGCUGAGAUUCUUUUGCCGUUUGCACUUAAUAAAAAAAAAAAGGCCGCUGUCGCAGCUACCAGUUCAUCUUCUUCAGUGACAGAGGAGGAGCUGACACUGACAGUAAAAUGGAGUGGAAAAGAGUAAAUGGUUAGAGUCGUGGCGAUGACUCAGUGGCCGAGUUGAAACGAAGAAUCUGGAAACUCACCAACGUUUUACCCAAAAGACAGAAGUUUCCUUACUCUAAAACGGCAAUAAAUACUAGUCCAUUUAUUAAAACCAUUGAAAAUCCCAAUCUCCCAAAAAUAAGUAAGAAUUCUAUAAUUUUCAUUCAGAAAUAUAUCAGAAUAGAAACUGGAACUGGGCUUCUUCAGAAUAUUGAUAUUAAGAAUGACUAUGAUUUAGAAUUAGAGAUAACUAAAUUUGUUCCUAAAUUUAGAUAUUGAGGCAAAAAAAUUUGCCAAUGAUACUAUAAAUAGCAACAAUUGAUGAAAGUACUAGCUAAAAUCAUUUAGGAACUUCCCAAAUUGCCUUUGGAUAUAUUAUUUUGUUUUUAAAAAAAUGGUGGAUUUAUCAUAUGAAAGGUAAUAAAUAAUUCUUAUACAAAUUUAGUACUUAAAUUACAUUCUAUAUUAUAAAAAUAAAAAAUAUUGGAUAAAAGGUUUGUACAUAUUGUAUUAUCUUACAAAAGAAUCUUUGAAAAGCUAUAAAAUCUUUGUAAGAGUAAAUCAACAACGUUAUAAAUUCUCCACGUUUUGUGAUCUUCAUUUGCAGUAGAUUUCUUGGCAGACUCUUUCUCUUGGUAUUACCCUGCAUCAAUGAUGAAAGAAAAUAUUUCCUAGCCUAUUGCUAGUAAAGUCAGCAAAAGACAAGGAACCAAAUAUGACUAAAGCAACCUCUUAAACCUUGCCUGAGAAUUUUCCUUAACUGGACUGAACUAACAAAUCCCAAAUCAUCUAGUUUUGAUCUGUUGAAUUUCCUUGAAUUCCAAGAUUGGAAGUAUAACUAAUUUCUAUACGUUCAAAGACCUGAGAGCCUGUAAUCAGGGCAGAUGACAAAGAAUCAUAAGGACAAAUAUGAAUCUUAUUAUCCCAAGUAAUUGUAAUUUUUAGCAUUUAGGCAAACUAGCUUCUAAUAUGCUUGUAAAAAAUAGGAAGAAGGGCUAAACUUUGAACUGGAUAUACACAAUACUAACUACUAACAGCCUUCAUAUCUCAAUAUGUUGUAAGCACGAAGUAUCAUUCUGUAUGAAUUCUCUUGGAAUCACCCAAAACUUGGACAUGAUUUACAUAUGAUUCAAGAGUGUAAUGACUGGAAAAUAAAACUCUACCUGGUCUGGUAGAAAUACUGAAAGACAUACCAUGAUGAAUUGUUGAUUCCCAAAAAGAGGCUUGCAUAACAGAGUUCAGCCCGAACUAGUUCCAUUAUCCAUAUUAUUUGAUGAGUUUGGCCCAACUACACUCAUUGAAAUUCCUUAGAUGAGAAAAGAGAUGUGAAUAGCUCUUGAAUUGACAUAAUUAUUGGAAAAUCUAGGUGCAACAAUCAUACUAGAAAAUGCCAAAGUUGCAUUAUUAGAGGGACUACAUGGAUGCUCAUAAGGACAGCAUUCAUCUAAGUUUGAAAAUACUAAGGAAUGUAGUUACAAAAUAGAGACAGGGAAAGAGCAUAAAUGCAAGCAUGCCCAUGAAUUACAGCGAAAAGCCAAUUCAAAUAAACUAAAAUUAAUAGAAACCAAAUGAAAUAAGUUCAAUGAACUAGGUAUGAAAGAGCUUACUAAUAUAAAAUGCAUCUCUAAUUUUUCUGCCUAAACUUUUUUCUAUCAUCUAUAUUCUUGAAAGUUCACAUGGCAUGUUGCUAACGCAUGCUCCAUAGCGUUCUAAAGAUUCACAUAGAGGUAACUUAUGUGAGAAGCAUGGUAUUAAAUAAAUCAAGCAGGAUAAAAACAUAGAGAAACUAUGAAGCUACCAUGAGCUGUAGAAAUGAAAAAUGACCUUCUGGCCGACCAUUCCAAUUUGGCACAUGCACAACGCAAAGUGAAGUUGGCAGUGUCAGUGUAUCUCCUCUUCCUGAAAAAUAAGCAGAUGAAAUUAUACAAAAUCAAUUGAGGUCAAAAACUUAUUGCUCAAUCAAGAGAUGCCCAAGCAAACUAGUGUUGCAAAGAAAUAAAGAAUGAAACCGCAGAGGCGGUCAUCUGACUGAAGUUUUUUCCUUAGUAGAUAUCAAUUAAAAAGGUAAAAAGGCAAAAUGGGAACUAAGCUACAGAUUUAUUUGUUAGCUCUGUUUCCUAUAUAUAGACAUGUCAAACCUAAAGCACAUAAAUUAUAUACUUUACAUAUAUAUAUAUAUAUAUAUUAUAUAAUGGAAGAAAAAAGAGAGCAAAAUUAUAAUAUACUAUGAACCUAAAGCAAAAUCAUGGUUUAGCAGACCUUGGAGGUGAUCCAAAGAUCUUCACACACUUCAACACACCAUCUUCCAACAGCUUCUUCAGAACACAACCAAUCCGCAUAAACCAAGUUAUUGAAAAUGAAUCAAUCAUCAAAAUUAGGGCAUCAAAUUGGGUAUGUGCAACUUUAAUACUAAUUUAAGAUGAAAUAGAACUGAACUUCAGUCACUGAAAGUGAAAAAACAAAUAAAUUAUAAAUUUAAUUCGUUUCAUGCAAUUACCUCUUUCUUGUUCUCAUAGACUUGAGCACAAUCAGUAUGCCGGUAUCCAUCCUGCAUGAAAACAGAGCAAUUGUUACACAAACGACGGUGACAGUAACAAAUGGCCGUGAGAUGACAAUCGUGGGAGUGAAAAGUGAAAAUUAGAGUUUGAUUUUCAACAAUUAGGGGAAAAUGAAAAGAUAAAAUCUUAUUUAAGAAAGAGAUUUUGAUUUUGAAAGAGUAAAAACAUGAAUUUUACAAUUCUGGAAAACGAAAAAAAGCCAAAGAGAAGAGAGAGGUAGAAAAAAAAAUUAUAUGAGAAAGACAGGAGGGAAAGGCUAAAAGUGCCCUUAAAACAUUGAUCUUUAGCGGCGGCUUCAUUUUGGUCACGAAAAAACAAAAUAAAAUAGGAUAGUUAUGGCGGUACUUCAAACCCUGAAGAAAAAAAUGUUCUUAAAAAUACAUUAUUUUGUAGUGCUUACGAGAUUAGGUUUGAAAGAGGCACAAAAUUGGGCUUCAAACCCUUAAUUUUUUAGCCGACGAGAAGUUAUGGGAUUUUAGAGAAAGAAGGGAGAGAGUCUUGGGUUUUUACUUUAAACCGACUGAAGAGGACUGAUGAAGUGACGAGAACAUCAAGAGAUUUUAAAAUAAUGAAGUGACAAGUAAAUGUUAAAUAAAAAGAGACAAAUGAUAUUAUUUGUAAAGGCGAACAUGCUUUUGUCCCUAGAAUUUACAUUUUAGAGGCAAAAUUUUUAUUUGUCUCUAAGAAUACAAUGUGUUGCAGUGAGGAUUACAAAUCAAAAAGAUCAGUUUGAGCCUAAGUUUUUUUUUCUAUUUACAGAACUUAAGAGUAUCACUAUCACUCCUCUUUACUCGAAUUUUGUAGUGUGCCCCUUCCUCCUUGGAAAUAAUGACAAUAUCACCAUUACGAAGACCCUUACUUCGGACAAAUUGGAUCCAACCGGAAACAAGAACCAGUUUUGGGAUAACCCCAGGUUGUAUUUUGCAACCAAAGUUCCUUAAGAUUCCAGCAUCAUCCUCAAUCUGCAACACCAUCACAUGGCACCCUUGCGACCGAGGUAAAGCAGCUUCGCAGCCAAUUGGAAAUGAUAAUCUUCUCUCAAUGUCAGUGGGUGCGAGAACUUUUGAAAAAAUUUGCAUACCUGAAUUUGAUUUCUUUGAGCUGCUGUACCGGCCAAUUUUUACUUACAGAUUAGCGAGAGAAGAUGAGAAUUGAGCACAAACAUAUAGAGGAAGAAAAGCCUUGGAAGUUUGAAGCGCCAGCUCUGUCGAUAUCGUGAGAAUGAGACUUUGGAUGUGUCUCUUUUUUUUUAAUCUUUUCACGGAAGGUGUAUUGGUGGGCCUAUGAAAGGAAAAAUGAACUAAAGAUCCAGAGAGUACAAAAGUUUUC